rnacentral:rRNA from 1 species
GACGAACGCUGGCGGCGUGCUUAACACAUGCCAGUCGAACGGAAAGGCCCUGCUUGCAGGGUGCUCGAGUGGCGAACGGGUGAGUAACACGUGGGUGAUCUGCCCCUUACUUUGGGAUAAGCCUGGGAAACUGGGUCUAAUACUGGAUAGGACCAUGCUGUAGGUGGUGUGGUGGAAAGAUUAGUUUCGGUAAGGGAUGAGCUCGCGGCCUAUCAGCUUGUUGGUGGGGUAAUGGCCUACCAAGGCGUCGACGGGUAGCCGGCCUGAGAGGGUGGACGGCCACAUUGGGACUGAGAUACGGCCCAGACUCCUACGGGAGGCAGCAGUGGGGAAUAUUGCACAAUGGGCGCAAGCCUGAUGCAGCGACGCCGCGUGGGGGAUGACGGCCUUCGGGUUGUAAACUCCUUGCAGCCAUGACGAAGCCCUUGUGGUGACGGUAGUGGUAGAAGAAGCACCGGCUAACUACGUG